AGAGGGGAGCUGGGGAUUUGGCCCGGCUGAGAGGGGAGGCCCAACCUCCCGACCCUGAACCUGAUCCGGGUAAUGCCGGCGUAGGGACCAGC
rnacentral:ncRNA from 1 species